rnacentral:rRNA from 1 species
ACGCAAGUGUGAAACUUGAAGGAAUUGACGGAAGGGCACCACAAGAACGCGUGGAGCAUGUGGCUUAAUUUGACUCAACGCGGGAAAUCUUACCGGGUCCGGACACACUGAGGAUUGACAGGUAACAUCAUACUUUAUUGUACUUGUAUARUAUCGUAUGUAUAAAUAUGCUAGUCCUUUCAUGAUUAUGUGAUAGGUGGUGCAUGGCCGUUCUUAGUUCGUGGAGUGAUCUGUCUGCUUAAUUGCGUUUCACUAUUGGAUCUAUUUACACGUAUAUGUGUUUCGUUAACUUUGACCCCUUACUUCGGUGAGUGCGUGUCUUAUGUCUAACUCACUAUACAUUAGAUCCUGAAAGCAACGAACGUGACCGCAACCUCUUGUUGCUUUCAUACCCAUGUGUAUUAAUAUAUAUAUUCACGUAUAUUUUAUCAAUGCACUAAGAAAGCUUCGUAUAUACAUAUGCUUAAAUAUAUUCACGUAUAUCUACAGCGUAUCGUAUAUAAAACUAGAGGGACCGCUGUUACUUUCUUAAACCAGAGGAAGGUUGCGGCAAUAACAGGUCUGUGAUGCCCUUAGAUGUUCCGGGCUGCACACGUGCUACAAUGAUUAUUGCAGUGAGCAUCUCAUUUUUUAUCACACCGCAUGCGCGAGUCUAUAUAUUUAUUAUUACUCUUCGGAGUGAUAUAUACUUUAUAUACGAUCUCUGCGCGCGGUAAAGCCUACUUCGAAAGUAAGCGGGUAAUCAAUUAGAAGUAAUGAUUUCCUAUUUUUCUCUGCACACAUAUAUAUGGCGUAUCUACCCGGCUUACCUUGUUGUAAGUUCUUUGUGCGUAGAUAUCGAUUUUACUUCCAUAUGUGCAAUUGUCAAUUCAUGGUGGGGACAGACCAUUGUUUCAAUUGUUGGUCUCGGUCUUAACUAGGAAUGCCUUGUACGGGUCUUUGGUUCAACAAACCACCCGGAAUACGUCCCUGCCCUUUGUACACACCGCCCGUCGCUCUUACCGAUGGACUUCUCUGUGAGUUUGAGGGACUGUCAAAUAUAUUAUAUUACUCUCACGAGUAUUUUUAUAUUGCUAGGAAACUUAAACGAACAGUGUGGUCUAAAGGAAAGAGAAGUCGUAACAAGGCAUCAGUAGGUGAACCUGCAGAAGGAUCA